AGAGACCUUAGCCUAAGAUUAUUAAUAAUACCGGUAAAGGAAGUACUCCUUAUAAUCUGUGUGUGAAGUCUGUAGCAGAAGUCUGUUGGACCCGGCCUGCCGCUUUUGUUCUUUGGGAUGCAAGGAAUGAAAAAAGAAUGGAGAUUUGAGGUUUGUGAUCUUAAGCAAGAAACCUGAUCAUGAAAUCACGGGAAGAAGGGAAAGAAUGCCAAUUAAUAGAAGAUUGCCAGUAAAGGAAGAUGAUCAAGAUCAACAAUUGCGUGAAAGCAAUAUCCAACAAAAACAAAGUAACUUACCAAAGCAAGCCUUCACAACCUGAUCAUAAUAAUUCGAAAUCAAGAAGAAGAAAGGGCAUUCCUCGAAGGCACACCUUUAGGGCCCUAAUCUACCCUACAAAACUUGCAUGCACAUGAUGAUCAUGAUUCAGCUGAUCAUGAUCAUUGAUCUGAUCACAAGCCCGACCAUGCAUGUGGGUUUAUUUUACUAAAUCAAAGGGGUAAGCUGUCCAAACGGUGGGUUUGAAAACAAAGGUUAGGUUUAGGUUACUUUCGGGCAAGGGCUAGCUAGCUGGCUUUGCAAAUUAACAGUAUUUGUAUUAUAAAUAUUAAUAUUUCAUGAAACAUGCAAAGUUACUGUAAAUGUUAUCUACAAACACUAGUACUACUAAUGAUAAAGAAUCAACAGCUCAUGAAUACCUAGAUUUUGUUUUCUUGAA